GAGGAGCGAAAGGGUGGGGAGCAAACAGGCUUAGAUACCCUGGUAGUCCACCCCGUAAACGUUGGGAACUAGAUGUAGGGUCCUUCCAGGAUUCUGUGUCGCAGCUAACGCAUUAAGUUCCCCGCCUGGGGAGUACGGCCGCAAGGCUAAAACUCAAAGGAAUUGACGGGGGCCCGCACAAGCGGCGGAGCAUGCGGAUUAAUUCGAUGCAACGCGAAGAACCUUACCAAGGCUUGACAUAACCGGAAACGUCCAGAGAUGGUCGCCCCGUAAGGUCGGUAUACAGGUGGUGCAUGGUUGUCGUCAGCUCGUGUCGUGAGAUGUUGGGUUAAGUCCCGCAACGAGCGCAACCCUCGUUCUAUGUUGCCAGCACGUAAUGGUGGGAACUCAUGGGAUACUGCCGGGGUCAACUCGGAGGAAGGUGGGGAUGACGUCAAAUCAUCAUGCCCCUUAUGUCUUGGGCUUCACGCAUGCUACAAUGGCCAGUACAAUGGGCUGCGAUACCGCGAGGUGGAGCGAAUCCCAAAAAGCUGGUCCCAGUUCGGAUUGAGGUCUGCAACUCGACCUCAUGAAGUCGGAGUCGCUAGUAAUCGCAGAUCAGCACGCUGCGGUGAAUACGUUCCCGGGCCUUGUACACACCGCCCGUCAAGUCAUGAAAGUCGGUAACACCCGACGCCGGUGGCCUAACCCUUGGGAGGGAGCCGUCUAAGGUGGGAUUGGUAAUUAGGACUAAGUCGUAACAAGGUAACCA
rnacentral:rRNA from 1 species